UAGCUAAGAGGGUAAAGCAUCUGCCUACAAUGCAGGAGACCCAGGUUCAACCCCUGG
rnacentral:tRNA from 1 species